GCGCCUGUAGCUUAGUCUGGAGAGAGUGCGUGGCUACGAACCACGAGGUCAGGGGUUCAAAUCCCUUCAGGCGCACCA
rnacentral:tRNA from 1 species